GGCAGCGUUGCAUAGUGGUUUGAGUGUUGGACUGCAACUCUGAUGAGCAGGGUUUGAUUCCCCGCUUGGCCA